rfam:Glarea lozoyensis 74030 unplaced genomic scaffold M7I_scaffold20, whole genome shotgun sequence.
AUUUUUAGGGGCUUUACGAAUAACAGUGAGGAGAUAAUCCGAGUUUUCGUUUUUGCUAGUUGAAAACUAUACCAUGACCGCUCCUGUCUGGCUCCGGUCGGACAGGGAAUUUUUGGAGCAAACCUCU